AAAGAAACCAGUUCCAAUAUAUGUCAUUCUGGAGGAACUUAUUAGCCACAAUACUUAGGAGAGUUAACUAAUUAGCCGCAAUGCUCAGGAGUAAACUAAACAUUCGCAACACAAACUUGCAGAAAGGACCUCAUCAACCCACAACCUUCCGAGAAUUACUUCUGCUAGGAACCUCGUACGAACGCCCAAGAUAGUCAGUCUGCCUGUGCCAUCCUCCCGCCUUCAUCGAAGGGGGUGACGGCCUUCCAGGGGGCGGUGCUCCAGUGUUCACCGUCAUCUUCGACAGCUUCUCAGCCACAUCUGAGACUUUACCUGCAGUGCCUACACUAGUUGUCACAUCCGCCACACUCCGCAUAUUUCUAUUCAUGUAUCCCGGAUUGUUGUUUCGAACAGGAGGCCGGUAAGGAGUUUGUUUUAUGUUGUUGAUAUUGUUCUUAA
rnacentral:misc_RNA from 1 species